CCCUUAGAUGUUCUGGGCUGCACGCGCGCUACACUGAUGCGCUCAACGAGUUUAUGACCUUGCCCGGAAGGGUUGGGUAAUCUUCUUAAAACGCAUCGUGAUGGGGAUAGAUUAUUGCAAUUAUUAAUCUUCAACGAGGAAUUCCUAGUAAGCGCGAGUCAUCAGCUCGUGCUGAUUACGUCCCUGCCCUUUGUACACACCGCCCGCCGCUCCUACCGAUUGAGUGAUCCGGUGAAUAAUUCGGACUGCAGCAGUGUUCGGUCACGAACGUUGCAGCGGAAAGUUUAGUGAACCUUAUCACUUAGAGGAAGGAGAAGUCGUAACA
rnacentral:rRNA from 1 species